rnacentral:rRNA from 1 species
UACGAAGGGGGCUAGCGUUGCUCGGAAUCACUGGGCGUAAAGGGUGCGUAGGCGGGUCUUUAAGUCAGGGGUGAAAUCCUGGAGCUCAACUCCAGAACUGCCUUUGAUACUGAAGAUCUUGAGUUCGGGAGAGGUGAGUGGAAUUCCCGGUGUAGCGGUGAAAUGCGCAGAUAUCGGGAAGAACACCCGUGGCGAAGGCGGCUCUCUGGGACGGUACUGACGCUGAGACGCGAAAGCGUGGGGAGCGAACAGG